UCGCGACAUUCAAGUGGGGUGCUGGCGGUACCCUGAACCGGCAAUCCGCCUUAGCCGGACCGAAUUCCAUCGCUGAGGUCUGGGUUCUCAGAACUGGCCGCGGCAAACGGCGUUGAAGGUCGGGACCUGCGCAGCUCGGGUCUCCGAACCCCGUCAGGUCCGGAAGGAAGCAGCGGUAAGGAGAGUUCCCGGGGGUGCCGCAGCCACCCUGCCCGGAGCCGCGAACCGCGGUGCGAGCUGGGGGUCUUCGAUCGAUGCGGGGGUGCGCGA
rnacentral:SRP_RNA from 1 species